GACGCUGCCGGGGCACCAGGGCCAGGCUCGGGGAGCUGCCCGGAGGUGGUGCCCGCCGGGACAGCGUCCUUCUCCCCUAUCUUCUUGGUCAAGGCGAUUGGCCUUUUGUGACUUGGGCUCAAAGCUGGUUUGAGAAAAGUUCCCUGAGAUGGUUGUUCUCCCCUGUUGGAGAUGGAGUCUCAUUCUAGCCCCGGAAGCCCAUGUGUGCCUGGUUCCUUGGGCUCCCACAUCUGAUUCAGGUCAUCCACACUCCUGCAGGAUGGACUGGAUGGAAGGAUGACAGCUACCUUUGUUUUCAUAUCCCAUCUCUAGCCUACUGAUGGCUUUUUCCAGGAACACAGUGUUAAGAAGGGUUCUGAUGCUAUAUCCGUGAGUGCUGUGUCGGAUUAGCAAUGUCUGCCAUGAGAGCGUGAGGCCCCGAGCAUUUACCACUGGACUGGAAGGGCUUAGGAUCCAGCUGGGCUGCUAGUGGCUGGUCUCUGACCUGUUGCUAGGGUUGCUGGGCCUUACUCACCCGUGCCAGGAGGUCACUGGCUCAGGGUGAUUUCUGCGGGGUACGAGCAGAAGCGUCAGCUGCGUUUCUUGGUGUCCUAUAAACUUAUGUAGGGAAAAGGGCUUUAUCUGCAGCCUGUGUCUUUGGAAAUUUGGCCAGUUUUGAAGAUGGCUGCUAUUCACUUACCUGUCAAGGGGAUGCAGGCUUGGAGAGGUCACAUUUGGUGUGGAGCCAUCCACACUCCAUCUGGCACCUUGUGUGGCCUCAUGCUUAUGACAUAAGUGUCCUGGUUUGGGAGUUGAUUCUUUGACCAUGAAAUCGAGGGAAACAGUAACUGUCAUGCCCUGGGAUUGAGGCACGGGCUCUGGGCUUCUUAACAAUUGCCCUAGGGUUGAUCUGGAUGCAGGGAGCUGAAUGAUGCUUUUUUACAGGAAGCCUUUGUUGUUCUCUGAUGCACUGUUGAGGCUGCAGAGAUGGGUGUCUGACUCAGCUGGGUGUCCUUGUGGCUGUGCCCCCUUGGGAAAUCUUAUGGGCCUUCUCAGUUUCCAGUGUUGGAACAAGGGAGAUGGCACCAUUUGGUGGGGCCCGACCGUCUGCCUCAUGGUGCCCCACAUUCCUGAGCAUGGCCCUUCCUGAUGCUGUGGGGCCUGCACCUCACUCUUUAGCAUCGUUGCCAGGGAUACAGUGCUGCCAGGCAACUGUGAGCUGGUCCUUCAUUAUUUAGGAAAUGGGAGCUGAUGAGCGUGAGCUCUAAAUUCAGGCCUAGGAACCUACUUCCUGCAGGGCUAAGGAGUGGGCGCUCCAGUCCACAUCCCCCAGCUGGCCUGUCCAGCCUCAGAAGGUACCCAGCCCAGAAGCCUGACCAACCACCACACCCUCUGGGCCAUUAGUGGCUGCAGAGUGGAAGAGUUCAAAAGGGUGCCCCAGGCAGCCAGCACAGUGAGCAACAUGGGCGCUGACCCCCCACCCCAGAGCCCAGGUUCCAGGCCUCAAUGGCACGGUCCCCACCUGGACAUGCAGCCCUGUUGCCUCCCUCCCCCUCACUGCUGUCAGCUGUGCAGGCCCCAGGGGACACACCAUUAAUCAUUACAUCUUGGAGACAGGAGCAGAUGGAGGUGGUGGGGGAGGGGGAGGAAGCCAGGUUAUGUUUGGCAAAGCAGAAAGCACAGUCUGGUGAGGAAAAUGUUUCUGUGUUUAAGCUUCGAGGAAUGUUAAAUGCCUGGGAGUUGAUAUUAAAAGAAACACAAACCUUGCUGCUGCCAGCUGACCUGGGCCUGUGAACAGCCAGUUCAGAGCCAGUGUCCUCUGGAGGGCUUUGAAGUCUCCUAGCCCUCAGCUCCCCAAGGCCCAGCCCUUGGCCCUCAGCCCUGGAGCCAUCCUGCCCCUAAGAUUGGGGGAGGGGUGUCCCCACAGAGGUGUGCCAUGCCUUGUAAAGUCUGCUUGCCCUGGACUGCCCUUGGAGCCACUGAGGAUGACAGGCUGGGCUGUAGAGGCCGCACUGAGCUGUUCCAACCUGGCCAGGCCCCACGGAGCCACGGAACGGUCUGUUCCCACAGCUCGCUCCCACCUCCAUUCCUGCCACGUGUCCAAGGAAGGAAAUUGGCACCAGCCUCUGGCACUCGGUCCUGCCCCACUUCAGCAGGCGCCGAGGAUGGAACUGAGGGGCGCCCCACAGGAGGAACUGAGUCACUGGGGACGUCCAGGUGGCCUGAAGGGGAGGCAGCGGGGAGAAAGCCCACCCCUGUUGCCCCACUUCUUUCUAAGCCCUCCUAGAUCAGCUUAUCCAGAGAACAGAGAGGGACCCCGUUUCCUAAGCUCCAGGCAUUUACUCCAGGAUGAGUCUCCGUCUCUGGGUUGGCCAGAUGCAGCACUGGGGGCAGGGGAUCGGAGCUGGCGGGGAGAAGGGGCAGCCUGGAGUGAUAGCAGGUGGCAGCGCUGAUCACCAGUGUAUGUCCAGCACUUGUGCUGUGGGAGGCCCAUUCCCAGAUGUCCUCACGUGAGCCUUGCAACAGCACUGCCAGGAAAAUGACAGUCGUAGCCUCCCUGUUUGGUAGACGAGGACACUGAGGCCCUGGUGCCUCUGCUGACUGUGCAGGGAAGGCCGUGCUCUCUCCCCUGCGCUGUGUCCCUGUGCCCCAGGCCUUCAUCGGGGAGUCCCCCAGCCCGGGGGGAAGGGCUCAGCAUGGCUGGUGGUCUGGAGAAGGAGCUGGAGGUGGGGGUUCCCACCCCUGCAUCCCACCUUAUGGCAUAAGGUGAGCGGAAGGCCUCCUUUGGUGUCCUCUCACCUCUGGGCGGGGGACAUUUCUGCCUCGUGUACCUGGAAGAAAGCAGAAUGAGUGUGCGUGGAAAAGAGCCAGGGUGGGGACUUUGCUUCUGCAGUGUGCACAGCACGGACUGGCUGCUCUGAAGUGCAGGGGCCUGGCCUUAAGGAAUCUUCUGCCAGAUUGGAAAGACAAGCAUUGUCAGUACACAGCACACAGCUAGAGGACAAGGCAAGGUGCUGAUGACGGUGGGGAUGGUGAUGGUGAUGCUGGUGGUGAGGGUAACAGCUCUGUGUGAGCCCCGUGCUGGGCUAACGCUCACAGCCAUUACUCCAGGGGUUCUACCUAGUACCCUUCAGGGUAGGAAAGUCAUCACACUUUAAAGAUGAGAAAGCUGAGGUUAAGUAACCUGUCCGAGGCCAGGGCCGGCUGGUGGGGGAGCCAGGACUGGAGCCAGAGCCCGUGCCUUGCCCUCUCUAGGGGCUCUCCUGUCCCCCACUGCUUCCUGUGGAACAAGAGGGAAACUAGCACCACAAGGAUUCAAACAAGGAAAGAAAGACCAUCGUGCGCUAGCGUUAGGGAGGGUUCUAGGAGGAGGUGGAGCGAGAGGAAUCUGAGAGCACUGGGUUUCUAAAUUCCAAAAGCAGUGUUUAUAUUAGAAAGAAAGUAGCGAUAAUAAUGAGGAGACUUGAAACAUAAUCACAAACCAUCCCUGCUCCCACUCCUCCCAAACGGCCGUUUUAUUUUGUGCCUUUUUCCUUCCUCACGUACACAAAUUUUUAUAUGGUUUUAAUGAUGGUGUGUAUUUUGGCUUUUUCUUUUCCUUCUGUUUUCACAUAAUGUUAUCAUAAACCCCCUUUUCUCUAGGCUGUAUGUAGGCUUUAUAAUUAACCUUUUUUGUCACACUGUCAAAAUGACUUCAUAAAAGUCAUUUUACAUAAUGGCCAGCACAUUAAUUGCCAUUUUAAGGCUUUGUUAUUCUAGCAGGGGCUGGAUCAGCAGAAAGGAGUGGGGCAGGCAUUCUGGGGGAAAGGGCCCACAGGGCUAAGAGCAGGGAGGCAGGAAUGUCCAGGGAGUGUCCCAGGAAAUUAAGGAGCCCGCCUGCCCUGAGCGGGAGGGAUUGUGAGCAACGCAAGUAAGAGGGAGGUUUAAGGAAUGAAUAAAAGAGGAAUCAGUAGGGUUUUUAGGCUAGGAGGAAUCGUGGAGGGCGUUUUAUCCAGUCCUGUUUUGAGGGGGACAAGGAAACUGAGACCAGAAAGGGUGAGUGACGUAGCCACAGCCACACAGCGCAUUGGUGGUUGAGCGAGGGGCCCAGAUUCGAGGACCCGAUCCUAGGGUUGCUCAUGCUUGGUCAGCUGCUGGGCACAUGAGUAAAUGAAAAUUCUUAGAUGGGGCAGAGGCAGACUCAGAUGUCAGCCUGUGACACUCAGGAUCUGCCCUUUGUCGCUGCAACACUGCAAAUCUAGAGGUCGGAAGAGCCUC